rnacentral:rRNA from 1 species
GGCUGCUUGAGUACUACGAGCGUGUGCUUAAAACUCAAAGAAUUUGGCGGCUCGUUAACUACCUAGGGGAAUAUGUGCCUUAAUCCGAUGUUACCCGUUGUAUCUUACUGCGCCUUGAAAAAGAACAGUUGGUGUAUUGCCGUUGUCAGCUUGUUGUGGAGCAAAAAGUAACAGGCUUGGUGGGAUUAUUAAUUCGUUAAUAUAACCCAUGAAUUCAGGUCGAAAUGCUGCCUAUGGUGCAAGGGAGUAGGUGUUACAAUUUUGAGUUAAAAUAACGGAUCUCAUAUGUGAAGUUCCUAUGGGGGAAGGUGGACUUAGGAGUAAGUGAGGAUUAGCAUGCCCCUCUGAACAUGAAUCUAACUUGUGUACAAACCGCCCGUCGCUCUCGCCGGAAGGUGAGAUAAGUCGUAACAGG